rnacentral:rRNA from 1 species
GACGAACGCUGGCGGCGCGCCUAACACAUGCAAGUCGAACGAGCGAGAGAGAGCUUGCUUUCUCAAGCGAGUGGCGAACGGGUGAGUAACGCGUGAGGAACCUGCCUCAAAGAGGGGGACAACAGUUGGAAACGACUGCUAAUACCGCAUAAGCCCACGGGUCGGCAUCGACCAGAGGGAAAGGAGCAAUCCGCUUUGAGAUGGCCUCGCGUCCGAUUAGCUAGUUGGUGAGGUAAUGGCCCACCAAGGCGACGAUCGGUAGCCGGACUGAGAGGUUGAACGGCCACAUUGGGACUGAGACACGGCCCAGACUCCUACGGGAGGCAGCAGUGGGGAAUAUUGCACAAUGGGGGGAAACCCUGAUGCAGCGACGCCGCGUGGAGGAAGAAGGUCUUCGGAUUGUAAACUCCUGUUGUUGGGGAAGAUAAUGACGGUACCCCAAACAAGGAAGUGACGGCUAACUACGUGCCAGCAGCCGCGGU